UACGGGGGGGGCAAGCGUUGUUCGGAAUUACUGGGCGUAAAGGGCUCGUAGGCGGCCAACUAAGUCAGACGUGAAAUCCCCAGGCUCAACCUGGGAACUGCGUCUGAUACUGGAUGGCUUGAAUCCGGGAGAGGGAUGCAGAAUUCCAGGUGUAGCGGUGAAAUGCGCAGAUAUCAGGAGGAACACCGGUGGCGAAGGCGGGUCUCUGGGCCGAUACUGACGCUGAGGUGCGAAAGCGUGGGGAGCAAACAGG
rnacentral:rRNA from 1 species